AUUGAACGCUGGCGGCAGGCCUAACACAUGCAAGUCGAGCGGAUGAAGGGAGCUUGCUCCUGGAUUCAGCGGCGGACGGGUGAGUAAUGCCUAGGAAUCUGCCUGGUAGUGGGGGAUAACGUCCGGAAACGGGCGCUAAUACCGCAUACGUCCUGAGGGAGAAAGUGGGGGAUCUUCGGACCUCACGCUAUCAGAUGAGCCUAGGUCGGAUUAGCUAGUUGGUGGGGUAAAGGCCUACCAAGGCGACGAUCCGUAACUGGUCUGAGAGGAUGAUCAGUCACCCUGGAACUGAGACACGGUCCAGACUCCUACGAGAGGCAGCAGUGGGGAAUAUUGGACAAUGGGCGAAAGCCUGAUCCAGCCAUGCCGCGUGUGUGAAGAAGGUCUUCGGAUUGUAAAGCACUUUAAGUUGGGAGGAAGGGCAGUAAGUUAAUACCUUGCUGUUUUGACGUUACCAACAGAAUAAGCACCGGCUAACUUCGUG
rnacentral:rRNA from 1 species